GAGGUUUUGUUAAAACCAAAUUUCUGCAGCUGUAAGUUCAGUUGUUGAACCCACCAGAGGACGAGGGACGGCCGCCCAAGUCUCUACUAAGCAUUCUGUCACGCCGAUAGAAUUGCUUCGAAUAAACGCACCUGUAUCCAGUUGACGUAAAAACUCCUUCAGAGAUAAGCCAGACGCAAGCUCAAUACUGUGUACCCUGCGACAACUCUGGACCAGAGAGUCGGUUCCACUCGGGUCUUCUCUACCGGACCGAGUACCCUGAGGCUGACAACAUCCUCCUUUGACCUCCGGAUCCACCAGGGCCGGCUUUGUCGACAGGCGACACAGGCGGCCGCCUGGGGCGCCAUCUGAUGGAUAGGGCGCAAAAUAAAAAAAAAAUAAAAAAUAGUUCAUUAAAUUCAUGUUUGUAAUAUGAAAUGCGCUCUCUACAUACUCAAAAUUCCCCUUUGAAAUGACAUGAAAUUAAAACAUCAAUAUUUAAAUUCUAAUAAUCUGGCAGCAUUUCGAGCUCCCGCUUGAGCCACCGCUCCGAUGCAUUUGACCGUUAAGGGUGCCAUAGAUCACGUGUGUGGGUAGCACAGAAGGACAUCCUGUUGUCGUUGCGUUUAAGCGUUUGAUAUUUUACGAUGAAAACAACACCUAAGCCAUCGGGAUCAGCAUUCCGAAAGCGAAGGAAGGAAGAAGAAUAAAAACGGGCCCAAAGCAGAGCGUCUUCAUCCAGGCAUCACGCAGCAGCAGCACAUUUACUGAGCUACAGUCUCAGCAUCUAGAACCAGAAGAAGAACCCAACACCAGCAGACUCAGUGCUCCACUCCAACAGCCUGAAGAGACACCAUCAUCAGCUUCAACAGAUGUGUGUGAACAUGUAGGAGCUGCUGGCCCCAUGGAUCCUGCUGACUGGCCACAGCAGUAGAACAAAAUGGAAAGUAGAACUUUCUUUAUGAUGACACUUUGAUGUUUGAGUUUUGCUUUUGAUUGCACAGUUUAAUGCUGCUUUUGAUUUUGCACCCCCCCCCCCCAUGACAUUUGCUCAACAUUUUGAGUUGUUGGUUAUUGUAAUAUUCUCAGGUUACUUAUCUUUCAAGCUUACAUUUAUUCUUCAGGCUGUUGACUUUAAAGAGUUGCUGUGUGAAUAUUUAAAAUAAAAAUUUAGUAACUAAGGAAUCACUGUGGAGCUGCUUUUUCCAAUGUGUGGACUUGGGUUUGGGUGAGAGGCGGGGGUGGGGGGUGGGGGUGGGGGGCGCAAAUGGGCACUCUCGCCUUGGGCACCAAAUUACCCAGAGCCGGCCCUGGGAUCCACACAGAGGGUGGUCUGAGGGGUGAGGUAGCACACAGAUUAUGUCAGAUGCUGUUCUCUCUAAGAAACAACUGGGUUAGCUGCCAAACAACGUUUCCCACCCAGAACGCACUUCUCUCUCUGAAAGAAACCUGCUGAGAU